CAUAUUUAGAAAUUAAUCAUUUGAUUACGGAAAAAGGAAAUACAUUAUCUUCUUUGCUACGUUUGAACCCUUUGGAACUAUACUUAUCACCAAUUCUUAUAAAAAAUAUUUUAUCUUUUACUUUCCCCUUAUUGGACAUAAUGAGUAACGAUAUGAACAAUGUUGGUACUGUUCAUUCUAAAUUAACUACAGUGAAAAAGCAAACAGGAAAGGGUUACAUCACAACUACUGCAAUAACUACAAUUGAUACUUUGACUAACCUGAACGAUAAUGGAGAAAGAAUCAGAAUGGUAGGACCUGAUUUAGUUAAUAUUGAUACAAAUGUAGCAAAGACAGAUUUAAAAAUAAAUAAUGUUCAAAUUGGUAUAAAUAAAAAUACAUAUGAAGCGGAAACGAUGAAUUCAGAUGAAAUGUUAAUGAAAGAAUUUGAUCAUGAGAAAAAAAAAAAAAAAGUGUUGAUUAAUGGUGUCGAUUCUGUUGGUAUGUCAUACAGUGAACAUGAAGAUGAACAUGAAGAUGAAGAUGAAGAUGAAGAUGAAGAUGAAGAUGAAGAUGAAGAUACAAGAAUAGUAGGAUUUAACCAUAUAGACAAUUCCAGAGCAUUAAAUUAUGAAGAAUUAUAUAAUGGAGAUGAAUUGUUAAAUAUUAAAAAAAUGGAACACUCAGAAUUUAUUGAAGGAUUAAAAGAAAAAGGAGAAAAUGUGUAUAAUAAAGCAGUUCAACAUUUGCCAGAUUUAUUUGAGUUUUUUAUUCAUAUAUGUGGUCCCAUUGUACAUUUUGAUAAUUUAACAAAUGGUAUUGUUGAACUUCACUCCGGUAAUUUAAUUGCUAGAACUGACCAUCCUUGUGCUUAUAACAAAUUUAACUUAAUAUUUGAAUUUAAUGAAACACAAAUUACUUGUUUGAAAACUGGAUCUGAGGGAUCUUCGAUUAAUACAGGUAGUACAGAUAAUGGAGGUGGUAGCGGUAAAGAUAGUGUUACUGAAAGUGACAAUAUGAGUAACAACAGCGACGAAGUGAGAAAAAAAAAUAGCUACUGUAAUAAUGUAAAAGAAAAAACAGCAGGAACAGAAAAAUUUUAUAUACUUAAACCCAUACCUGUUAUAAUAUAUGUAGAGUAUGAUUUUAAAAUAUUAAAAAGUAAUAUAAUUUUGGAUGGGAUUUUCUUUCAAAUAAAUCCUGAUGCUGUUAGUAUUAUAUUAGCUGUGCCUACUUCUAUUACUAGGUAUUUGACAAAAUUUUACACAAAGCAUAAAAAUACGAGCAAAUUAAAUAAAGGAAAAGGUGAUGAAAAUUACACAUUAAAAGAUAUAAAAAAAAAUUAUGUUAAAAAAAAGGAAGAACUAUAUCCAAUUGUAGAUAACACAAAUUGGAGCAAAUCAUCAAAAAUGAAUGUAAUAUGUAAUAAAACAAAUAAUGAUAAUAGUGUUACUACUGAUGAUAGUAAUAUUGAUAAAAAUAAAAAAACAGAGGAAGAGUCGUUUUUAUACGAUAUUGAUUUUUUAAUCAAGAAUUCAUCGUUCUCCAUUAAGAAUGGUCAAAACCAUGAAGUACUUAAAUAUGAAGCUUGUGGUAUAGUAUAUAAAAAUUAUUUGCAAAAAAAAAAAAAAACUAUUAAAAUUGAAAUUGAACAGUUAUGGAUUUGUGACCCUAGUAAUCAACAACCUAUAUUUUUUACAUCUACAAAAAAUAUAAUAUCAAAAGAUGCAUUUCUGUUUAAGUCUCUGUCAACUUAUAUGCAAGAAAAAAAUAACAGUUCGCGUUCCAGUGGUUUUGUUGAUGAUAAUAUUGGGACAUAUGGAAGUUCCGUACAGACACAUACAGUGGAAUCUGCAGUUGCAAACAAUUUGUUGAGCGUUGGAAAUGGUGCAAAUGGUAAUAUAGGCAAUGAAAUGAAUGAAGACGACGAUGAUGAUGAUGAUGAUGAUGAUGAUGAUGAUGAUUUUAUGGACGCCAUAGAAGAAAAAAAAUUUUCAAUUGAUUUGCAGAUACUACAAAAACAAAACAAAAACAAUAUGGUAGAAGCAUAUAUAGAUUUUAUAAUUAAUGAUAUAGAACUACAUUGGAAGUAUAAAACAAUAAAACAGAUAUUUCGAACUAUGAAAGAGUAUAAAAAAAAAAUCCAAUCGGGUUUAGAAAAAGAUAUGAAUUAUAUAAAAAAUAAAUUAAAUAAUAAAGAAGAACUAAGAACAUACAAAAUGUUUAUAUCUGAAAACGCACUAAUCAGUGUCAAUAAUACACUAAAAACUGUAAAAGAUUCAUUAAACGUGUUAGAUAUGGAAACAUCUAAUACUUCAACUACAGUAGAUAAUGUUGAGAAAGAAAUAGUAGAAAAUGAUAAUGACCACAGACAGAAUGUGUUUACAAAUAUGGAUGUACAAAGGAGCGAGGUAGUAUCUUCACCGUAUUAUAUAUCUGAUAAAAUGGAUAAUAAAAAUUGUGAUACGAGUGAUAUAGGGGUAGGAACACACGUCGGUACAGAUGUUGGCACACGCGGCGGUACAGAUGUUGACACACGCGGCGGUACAGAUGCUGGAACACACGGUGGUACAGAUGCUGGAACACACGUAUAUGAUAACAUUUUGAGUAGUGGGUUAAACAAUGAUCUUCCCAAAUUGGCACAACAAAAUAAAAACCAUGUGACUUAUUUUUUUAACUGUUUUGUUAAUAACGCCUCCUUAGCAUUUUGGAAAAAAAAUAAAGUAUUUUCUAAAAUUCAGUUAAGUAACAUUUUUUAUGAGAACAUAAUUUAUAAGAGCUUUGAUCAAAAAAUGUUUAUUAAUAUUGAAAAGGGCAUUCUUUCAUUAAACAAUAAGAAUAUAAUUUUUAACAACAUUAAUGACUAUACAUAUGAUUCAUUUGAUUAUGUGAAAAAUAAGCAAUCAUGUAAUGGUGAAUUUGUUUCAAGUAAUGAAAAUAAAACAUAUAACAACAAAGGUUUGUAUGAACGUAAAGGCAGUAGAGACAUUUUAAAUUAUAUAACCUUUGAUAAUUUAUCAGAAGAAAUAAAAAAAAAAAAAAAAAAAAAAAAAAAAAAUGUUGUCAGAUGUAUCGGUAAAUACAGAAACAAAUCCUAACACAAUGACCAAACAAACAACACAAGAUUUAUUUAUUGGAAAAAUAAAUGUAUAUAACGAUAAAAGAAAAUACA
rnacentral:lncRNA from 1 species